rnacentral:rRNA from 1 species
UAUUAUGAGAGUUUGAUCCUGGCUCAGGACGAACGCUGGCGGCGUGCCUAAUACAUGCAAGUCGAACGCUUCUUUUCUCCCGAGUGCUUGCACUCAAUUGGAAAGAGGAGUGGCGGACGGGUGAGUAACACGUGGGUAACCUACCUAUCAGAGGGGGAUAACACUUGGAAACAGGUGCUAAUACCGCAUAACAGUUUAUGCCGCAUGGCAUAAGAGUGAAAGGCGCUUUCGGGUGUCGCUGAUGGAUGGACCCGCGGUGCAUUAGCUAGUUGGUGAGGUAACGGCUCACCAAGGCCACGAUGCAUAGCCGA